UAAAAGAUGACGUCAGGAUCUCAAAACCUGUAGCUUUGUCACGCCCAUGGAUGUAUUAGGAGAACGGUAACACCCCAACAUUAACAAACAGGCCACUGACCUGAGACCAGUUCCUAAUGGAGCUAGCGUUAGGUCAAUUAGAUGUCAGACUGAGAACGCUGCUCGUGUACUUUGACGGGAUUUACUAAGAAGAAAGUUUGGAAUAUUUUCCAGGAUAUUGACAAUGAACCAGGGUGGCAAAUGCAGUGUUCCAGGCUGUACAGGGAACGGAGACACUUCUCAUAGUCUUCCCAAGGAAGCAACCACUCGACGGGCAUGGCUGCUGUUUAUAAGGAGAUCCCAGUGAACCUUUUCCCUAAAGACAGUUCUAAACUUCGGACAAUUUAAAGCAAGAUUUGCUAAGCUGCUGUUGCUGUUCCAACUAUCUGGUCAUCCCAACCACAAGCUAGUACAUCACAAGAACGACAAGACACGAAAGACGCAGCUUGCCAAACAGAUGCUCCGAGUGUGGCAUCUAGGGGGACACAACUGUCUCAUAUGACAUUAAGAGCUCACAUAUCAUACAAGGUGGGUUUUCUUUAUGGAGACUGGAGACCCUCCCCCCUGUUUGUUGUUGUCGCUCGGACUUAACAAGCUCAGAAUUACACAGGUGGACACACCUGGGCUUGAUGAAGGCAGGUGUGUGAGAACAAGGCGGUGAAAAGGGGAGAAGCUCAGCAGAAGCGGCAGAGAAGCCACGGGGAAGCAACGGGCGAGGGCAAGAGGAAGCGCGGAGAGAGGAACUGGCGGAAGAGCAGGGAAGCAGGAGAGCAGAGCAGAAUCGAAGCAAGAGAAGUGAAGCCAAAGAGACACGGAGGAUAGCGGUAGCUGAGACGAGUGGACGGAUGGGAGAAGCGUCUACGAUAAACACUCCGAGAAAGCAGAUAAGUAAAGGAAAGUCUGCCGGCUAUCCUCGGAGAGUGUGUGGCGUGAAGUACUGCUUGUGAUCUGUGUUCUGAGAGCUUUCUCUCUCUGUUCCCUCCCAGUGCCAGCUACGGAGCAACGAAGACGCUACGCCAACCAGACGAAAAAGGACCCAGGCUUCCGGAGUGAAACGUGGCUGCCGUUUACAUCAUUGCUGCCUUGGACUGAAACGAACAUUGAAACAUAAACGAUAAGGACAUGAUUUUUUAGUAUAGUUAGUAUAGUACAUGAAUUUUAACCCUUCCUUGAUGACUCUUGUAUACUUGUUGUUUGUUAGUCUUAACCUUUUUUAGAAUACAAUAAAGAAUUACAUUUAGACCAAGCUGUGUUGUGGUGUGUCCUAUUUGUCAGUGGGAAGAUUUUAACUGCUGGUAGACCUCUAUUAGUUUUAAAGAAAGGAAGGAAAACUCCCCUCCUCGUGGCGGGGUUGUGACAUGUACACGCCCUAUGAACUUUGUCAUU